rnacentral:lncRNA from 1 species
UGGCACUGAAACUUCGUUUUUCGCAAUUUGGGAACACACCUGGUACCAUUUUGAUGCAAAACACUCCCGAGACCAUUAGCACCUAAAAUUGACCAAUUAAACCCCGAAUUAAUCGCUUAAUUUGAUACCAAAUCAAACUACAUUGAAAUAGACAAAAACGAAAUUCAAAUGUUCAAUGCUUACCCGAUCCGAAUUAAUCGCUUAAUUUGAUACCAAAUCAAACUACAUUGAAAUAGACAAAAACGAAAUUCAAAUGUUCAAUGCUUACCCGAUUCCCCAAAACUCCAACUACGAUUCCACAAAAGGAGAGUCUCGUUCUUCACGGUUUGAUGCUGCCAAAAUAUACAACUCUUACCUACCAAACGUACGAACACCGAAGUUUAUAAAAACAAUUUUGCCAAAAAGAGGAAGGAAGAAGGGUGAGAAAAAGAAAAGCAAAAAAAUUCUUAUGGGAAGAAAAGUGCAGAAAUGUCAGAUUUCCAAAAGAGGGAUUUUUGAGAAAUACGAAUUUUACCCAAAUCCUACUACAUCCACAAUCAUAACCACCCACUACUUAGAAUUCCAACUCCACCGAAACUCUAUCACAACUCCAAGCAAAAUUAAUACUUACGCUCACGCAAGGAUUCAAACACAUAACCUCCAGCACACCAACUCGCUUACCACUUGAACCAACUGGCUCAUUCUAAUAUAAAUUAACAGACAAUUAAAUAUAAGCCUACUCAACAAGGGUAAGACUUGGAUAAAAAAUAACAAAAAUUGUUAAAAAUGAGAAUUGAACCUAAGACCUCACACACACAUUCAAAACACUUAACAACUGAAGCAAAUACUCAUUUAUAUCAAAUAUUUACAAAAAUAGAAAUAAAUAAGUUAAAGUGUUACAAAACUAAUGAAAGAAUUAACUUCAAAUGUACAUUUUAGAAAACCGGUUGAAUUAUAAUAGAGAGAUCAGUGGAUAAAUUUGUAUGGAUUUCAAAUUAUUUAAUAUAAGUUUCUUUUUCUAAAAAGAAUUAAAAAUGAAAAUUUGUUUGAAAUUAGACCAAAAUUUAAAGAGAAAUUACAUGAGUGGUAUGAUAAUUUCAGUGUGUGAAAGUCAACCAACAAUCGUGUACAAGUUGUCUAAGCUGAAGAGAGAAGAAUGUUGGAGGGGGAUAAAGUUUGAUAUUGAUAGUGCAUUCGCAGAAAAGACCAAUAGCGACAAAAAUGUCUGAUGUUGUCGGCAGAACAUUGAUAAUCAAUGUCAACUCGUGUGAUUCAAUUCCAUUAUAUAUAAACAACUGGUCACCAAGAUUGCCACGUGCUAACUUGGGAUUUUUUUAACUUUUUUAAUUCUGAGGUUGUGGGAAAUUUCUUUCCAUUUACAUUUACUAAAUUGUAACGUAAUUAUAAACAAGGGGACCGAAAGAAAGUAAGUGGAAAUAAUGAAGCCUCCCAAGGAGUGCCCAACUACCAACCUAUUUCUCUAACACAUACCUUUUGACUUUCUGAAUCCAUCUUUUUUUUUUUUUUUAAUUUUUAUAAUAUGCUUUGGUGCUUUGAAUCAUACAUAUACUUUAGCUUAAUUUUUGGCUUUUAUCCAUUUUGACCAUUUAAUCUCCAAUAUUCUAAUAUCAAUGCUACAUAAUAUAUGUAUUGUUGGAAAAAAAAAACAUAUCAAGACUUUGAGGUUUUCAUAUUACUUUUGAGGAUAUAUCAAAAACAAAAUCAUGAAAAAUGUUUAUAUAUAGACCCAAAUUGUUAAUAUUACGUAAUAAGUCCUAUAAAUAGAGAUUUACGAGAGGAGAGUUCGUAAUUUUAUUCCUGCAAAAGUUGUAUCUUGUGGUGAUUCACAUUUCUAGCUUUAUCCAUGCAAAAUUACAAGUUUAGUGGAGUAAUCCUUAUCCUGUUUAUAUUUUGGGCUUUGGUUAAAGGGGCUGAACCAUAUAAAUUACGAGUUUAGUGGAAUGAUUUUUAUCUUUUUUAUAUUUUAAAACAAAUCAAACGGGUUCAGCCACAUUAAAUAUUAUCUCUUACGAAUAUGAAUUUUUUUUUCACUAACAUACAAUAUGAAUGUCAAUUUCUAUAAAAGAAAUUUUAUGGUAAUUUUUUAUAAACAAUCUAUAAUUAGUAGGAAGAUAGAAGGAGAGUAGAAAGUUGUAUUUCUGAAUUUUUUUUACGUACAUUCCAAAUGCAAUUUUACUCUUAUUUAUAGUUCUUAUGUCUCUUUAUACAAAGAGAACUAUCUAGUAAAUGUUUGUUUUGGGAGUCAAGUCUUUUACGAUAAACAUAACUAUUCAAUAAUGUACGGGCCUAAAUUUGUCCGAUGCCCAUGACUCAACCAAAAACAAAAAUAAAUAAAAACCAAAUUUUCAAACCAAAAUAAACAGCCCAAUAAAAAACUCUAAACUCAAAUUUUAGCCCAAACCUUCAAACCAUAAUCAGCCCAAUAACAAAUACAGCCCAAACUAUCAAUCUAAUGCAAAAAAUAUCAGCAGAACCCUAGGAACGUUCAGCCACCGCCCCGCGCUUCUUCGUCUGCUCGCACGCUGCUCCAUCAGUCGCCCUCCACGCGUCAUCUGACAUUUGAAACAAGCACAAUAGCAGAGAAAGAAGCAUGCGAGCGCAGAGAAAUGAAGAGCAAAAAACAAAAAAACUAAAAGGGAAUCGAUUGUAAAUGGCUUUAAAAGCCCGGAUCUACUCUCUUGUAAUUUUUUUACGUACAUUUUACAAGCAAAAACUAAUCAAAAAAACAGAAUACUCGUUUUAAAGGUGAUUUUUUUUGUGUGUGUGAAGAUUUCUGUCUCUUUAUCUUGUUUUUACUUUUGUUUCUCUUAGUUUUUUUAUUUUAUUUUAUUUCACUUACGAAAAUAAAAGGGAAAUAAAACUUACCGGAAAACCCCCAUGGUCGGUCGUCGGAGACUUCUUUCUCCAUUGGAGUUGAGCCCAAAAGGGGAGGUUGGGAAGUCCCUUUAUUUUCGGGCACUCGACCGAGGGAUUUGGGACCUUCAAAGGCACCACAAACAGAGGCUAGGUAGCCUAUUUCGCUUGUCGUCGGCCACUGAUUGUAAUGGUGGUGUGACAAACCGCUGAGGGCGGCGAUAAGGGGUUCAGGACCCUAGCCGAACGAAAGAGAAAAGGGGGUAGGGAGGCUGAGUUCUUUUAAAAAAUAAGCAGCAUAAAUCUGCCUACAAAAGGAAGAAACCCUUUUGUUUUCUUUAAAAGGUGAAACGACG